UACAGAGGGUGCGAGCGUUAAUCGGAGUUACUGGGCGUAAAGGGCGCGUAGGCGGUUAUGUAGGUGUGAUGUGAAAGCCCCGGGCUUAACCUGGGAAGCGCAUCGCAAACGAUAUGACUGGAGUAUAUGAGAGGGUGGCGGAAUUUCCGGUGUAGCGGUGAAAUGCGUAGAGAUCGGAAGGAACGUCAAUGGCGAAGGCAGCCACCUGGCAUAAUACUGACGCUGAGGCGCGAAAGCGUGGGGAGCGAACAGG
rnacentral:rRNA from 1 species